rnacentral:misc_RNA from 1 species
AAGUCGUAACAAGGUUUCCGUAGGUGAACCUGCGGAAGGAUCAUUAAAAGAGAUAGGGUCUCACGGCCCGACCUCCAACCCUUUGUUGUUUAAAAAAACCUGUUGCUUUGGCGGGACCGUUCGUCCUCGUGACGGACUGUCGGUCUUCGGCCCGGCAAGCGCCCGCCAGAGUCCAACCAAACUCUUGAUACAACCAGUCGUCUGAGAAUAAAGAUUUAAUCAAUUAAAA